rnacentral:rRNA from 1 species
GACAGAGGAUGCAAGCGUUAUCCGGAAUGAUUGGGCGUAAAGCGUCUGUAGGUGGCUUUUUAAGUCCGCCGUCAAAUCCCAGGGCUCAACCCUGGACAGGCGGUGGAAACUACCAAGCUGGAGUACGGUAGGGGCAGAGGGAAUUUCCGGUGGAGCGGUGAAAUGCGUAGAUAUCGCUUGGAACGCCAAAGGUGAAAACAGGUUGCUGGGGUUGUGCCGACGCGUGAGACACGAAAGCCAGGGGAGCAAACGGG